UCUUUCUCUCUCUCGCUCGACCGAAACCGAAAACAGAGCAAAGGCUCUUCGGUCUCUCUCUACCUCCACCGGCCACCAAACGGCGUCGAACCACUUCCUUUUGCUUCGUCUCAGCCUUGCGCAGCUGCCAGAGGCAGCCUUGCACCGUGACACGGCCACCAGCGGCGGCGGGAAGCUCCGCCCGGUUUGAGCUCGUUUUGGAAACAAGCUUGAUAUCUCAAGCUACCGGUCACCAAUCCUCACCAAAAUCCAUCCACAAGCUCGACUCAACUUCCUGAAACUCCCAGAAGCAGCCUCACACGGCGGCGUGGCCCGUAGCAGUGGCUGCAAGUCAAACCCAACCAAGAACGAGACCGGAGCUAUCGAUCAAGAUAUCUCGAGCUGUAGUGCAUCGUUUUGAUUGAUUCUUUUUCCAGUGGGUUCCCCUUGAUGUUAUUAACAACUCUCUAGAAGGCAUCGAGGCCUGAAAUUGAAGCUUUGACGUCGAAAUCGAGCCUUGCCGGAUUCUGCAAAAUUCUGGAAUUUUUCCGACCACCGAAGCUUUCGAUCGGUAUAUCUCGAGCUACAGACCAUAUUUUUCUGUGAUUCUUGAACCAGUGAGUUCUUCUUGAGUUUCUUAACAACUCUUCAGAAGGAAUCGAAGCCUUAAAUUGACGUUUUUACGUCGAAUUGGAGCUCGCCGUUUUCUGCAGUUUCUCGCCGGUUUCUGGAAAAUUCCGGCCACCUUCAUACUGUUCAAGGUGACCGACGGUUUGAUUUGGCGGACGAUUCGUGAAAUUGUAUUUUGAGCUGUUAAGAAGACGCAGCAGGAAUUUAGAGCGGGUAAUCCUACAGGACAGGAGAACCAGGACGGUGAUCGUGCGGUUAGAGCAAUGGUUAUCGUUUUAUAGCAAUUGUAAUAGUGAGGCGAGUUAAGCUCAUUUGAGCAUUACAAUUUGAUUUGGUGGGAGUGUGCUGUAAUAAAUAACUUGAGGAUUUGGGUUAUUGUAAAUUUGAGAGUUGUGAAGUGUGGUUGUUUGUGAGAAAAAAAUUCAGGAUGUUAGUUGUAAUUUGUUAUUAUUCAUGUUUCGGAUUUGAAUUGAUUAUUCAAAAUUCGGGGCGUGACAGUUUGGUAUCAGAGCGUAAGGUACAUAUUUGGUGAUAAUCAGUACUCCCCGAGUGAUGGCCCGUCUGCAGCGGAUCCCCAUCAUAUACUCUUCGGUACUGGUAUAAUCAUUGGGUAUGUCUUAGUAUGGGGUCUAGACAGCGUGUAUGUCUGUAGGACGGUAGAGUUGUCUUCUAAGUUCGUAUUAGAAUAAGUUUAGUUUCCGCAGGUUGUAAUCUUCGAGGAAUAGAGACCUCUAGAUUUAACUCUGAUGAGUCGGUGAGAUUUGUUUUAUGGA